CCCCAGCUAAGGUUAAAUAUUUUUGCCGGCUAAUGUUUGCCACCUCUGUGCCCCCCCAACUAAGGUGAAUAAUUUUUGCCGGCAAAUUUUUGCCAGCUUUGUGCUUCCCAGCUAAUUAUUUAUGCCGGCUAUUGACUGUGUGGCUAUAGAUGUGGAUUACUAGGAUUACCCAGGUAUUUUUUGCAUUGUUUCGAUCAAGUUGUAGCUGUUUUUUAACAGGUUAAUUCCUUCCUACAUGAUAUCAACCAGGUGACAUCGUAUUAAACUUCAGAAAGAAGUUUUGGCAAUUUGACCUGUUUGAAUCCUAACAAGUGCUUCUGCUGACUCAUGCUAGAUGGUUUCUAGUUUCUCAAUGUGCAACUAUGGUGGAUAUCAGAACUUCUUGCAUAUUUCUGAUUACUGAUGGAGGUCUUUUUCUUUGUUCCACUAUAUAACCAAGGUACCUUUUCCUUAUUCUGAUGACUAACCAAACUUCAUGUUGAAUUGUUUUAAUGUAUAAUAUUGUUCUUCAGACUAACCCAGGUGUUUUUUUGCAUUGUUCCCAAAACUAACCCAGGUAUUUUUUUGCAUUGUUCCCAAGACUAACCCAGGUAUUUUUUUGCAUUGUUCCCAAGACUAACCCAGGUAUUUUUUGCAUUGUUCCCAAGACUAACCCAGGUAUUUUUUUGCAUUGUUCCCAAGACUAACCCAGGUAUUUUUUGCAUUGUUCCCAAGACUAACCCAGGUAUUUUUUGCAUUGUUCCCAAAACUAACCCAGGUAUUUUUUGCAUUGUUCCCAAGACUAACCCAGGUAUUUUUUGCAUUGUUCCCAAGACUAACCCAGGUAUUUUUUUGCAUUGUUCCCAAGACUAACCCAGGUAUUUUUUGCAUUGUUCCCAAGACUAACCCAGGUAUUUUUUUGCAUUGUUCCCAAGACUAACCCAGGUAUUUUUUGCAUUGUUCCCAAGACUAACCCAGGUAUUUUUUGCAUUGUUCCCAAAACUAACCCAGAUAUGUUUUUUGCAUUGUUCCCAAAACUAACCCAGAUAUGUUUUGUAUUGUUCCCAAGACUAACCCAGAUAUGUUUUUUGCAUUGUUCCCAAAACUAACCCAGGUUUGUUUUUUGUAUUGUUCCCAAGACUAACCCAGGUGUUUUUUUGCAUUGUUCUUCAGACUAACCCAGAUGUUUUUUUGCAUUGUUCUUCAGACUAACCCAGGUGUUUUUUGCAUUGUUCCCAAGACUAACCAGAUAUGUUUUUUUGCGUUGUUCCCAAAACUAACCCAAGUAUGUUUUUUGCAUUGUUCCCAAGACUAACCCAGGUAUUUUUUGCAUUGUUUCGAUCAAGUUGUAGCUGUUUUUUCACAGGUUAAUUCCUUCCUACAUGAUAUCAACCAGGUGACAUCGUAUUAAACUUCAGAAAGAAGUUUUGGCAAUUUGACCUGUUUGAAUCCUACCAAGUGCUUCUGCUGACUCAUGCUAGAUGGUUUCUAGUUUUCAAUGUGCAACUAUGGCAGAUGUCAGAACUAUCAGAACUUCUUGCAUUGUUCUGAUCACUGAUACAGGUCUUUUCCUUUGUUCUGAUUACUGAUGGAUCUUUUUCUUUGUUCCACUAUAUAACCAAGGUACCUUUUCCUUAUUCUGAUGACUACCCAACACUUCAUGUUGAAUUGUUUUAAUGUAUAACAUUGUUCUUCAGACUAACCCAGGUGUUUUUUGCAUUUUCCAAAAACUAACCCUUUAUUUUUGUGCAUUGUUACCAAGACUAACCCAUGUAUUUUUUUUGCGUUGUUCCGAUCAAGUCUAAGCUGUUUUUUUUACAGGUUAAUUCCUUCCUACAUGAUAUCAACCAGGUGACAUCGUAUUGAACUUCCGAAGACCUGUUUGAAAUCCUACCUAGUGCUUCCGCUGACUCAUGCUAGAUGGUUUUAGUUUUUUUACACGUGCAUCUAUGGAGGACAUAACAGCGCUUUACCUUCAAGACGCCGGGGUUCCUGGUACGAUGGUAAAUCAGUGACUCAUCCAGCUCAGAGUUUCACCGCUCGCUCAGGAGCUACGCCCGGAUGUUGAACGCUUCCAGCUGUACCUACGGAUGACCAGUGCCCAAUUCU
ensembl:lncRNA